rnacentral:rRNA from 1 species
UACAGAGGUCUCGAGCGUUAGGCGGAAUCACUGGGCUUAAAGCGUGUGUAGGUGGAUGCCUAAGUACCUUGUGAAAUCCCACAGCUUAACUGUGGAACUGCUUGGUAUACUGGGUGUCUUGAGUCACUCAGGGGCGAGCGGAACAAAUGGUGGAGCGGUGAAAUGCGUAGAUAUCAUUUGGAACGCCAAUGGUGAAAACAGCUCGCUGGGGGUGCACUGACACUGAGGCACGAAAGCCAGGGGAGCGAACGGG